GACGAACGCUGGCGGCGUGCUUAACACAUGCAAGUCGAACGGUAAGGCCCUUCGGGGUACACGAGUGGCGAACGGGUGAGUAACACGUGGGUGAUCUGCCCUGCACUUCGGGAUAAGCCUGGGAAACUGGGUCUAAUACCGGAUAGGACCACUGCCUGCAUGGGUGGGGGUGGAAAGCUUUUGCGGUGUGGGAUGGGCCCGCGGCCUAUCAGCUUGUUGGUGGGGUGAUGGCCUACCAAGGCGACGACGGGUAGCCGGCCUGAGAGGGUGGCCGGCCACACUGGGACUGAGAUACGGCCCAGACUCCUACGGGGGGCAGCAGUGGGGAAUAUUGUACAAUGGGCGCAAGCCUGAUGCAGCGACGCCGCGUGGGGGAUGACGGCCUUCGGGUUGUAAACCUCUUUCAGCACCGACGAAGCGCAAGUGACGGUAGGUGCAGAAGAGGACCGGCCAACUACGUGCCAGCAGCCGCGGUAA
rnacentral:rRNA from 1 species